GGAGGCAUACCCAAGAGGCCGAAGGGGACGGUUUGCUAAACCGUUAGAUCGGGAAUACCUGGUGCGAGAGUUCGAAUCUCUCUGCCUCCGCCA
rnacentral:tRNA from 1 species